UGGGGAAUCUUGGACAAUGGGCGAAAGCCUGAUCCAGCCAUGCCGCGUGAGUGAAGAAGGCCCUAGGGUUGUAAAACUCUUUCAGUGGGGAAGAUAAUGACUGUACCCGCAGAAGAAGCCCCGGCUAACUUCGUGCCAGCAGCCGCGGUAAUACGAAGGGGGCUAGCGUUGUUCGGAAUUACUGGGCGUAAAGCGCGCGUAGGCGGACUGGUCAGUCAGGGGUGAAAUCCCGGGGCUUAACCUCGGAACUGCCUUUGAUACUGCCAGUCUUGAGUCCGGAAGAGGUGAGUGGAAUUCCUAGUGUAGAGGUGAAAUUCGUAGAUAUUAGGAAGAACACCGGUGGCGAAGGCGGCUCACUGGUCCGGUACUGACGCUGAGGCGCGAAAGCGUGGGGAGCAAACAGGAUUAGAUACCCGCGUAGUCC
rnacentral:rRNA from 1 species